rnacentral:rRNA from 1 species
UAGAGUUUGAUCAUGGCUCAGAAUGAACGUUGGCGGCGUGGAUUAGGCAUGCAAGUCGAGCGAGAAGCCCCGCAAGGGGUGGAAAGCGGCGUAAGGGAGAGGAACACGUGGAUCAUCUGCCCUCAGGACCGGGAUAGCUGCGGGAAACUGCAGGUAAUACCGGAUAACAUCUUCGGAUCAAAGGUGAGAUUCCGCCUGGGGAUGAGUCCGCGUCCUAUUAGCUAGUUGGUGGGGUAACGGCCUACCAAGGCAAUGAUGGGUACCGGGUGUGAGAGCACGACCCGGCUCACUGGGACUGAGACACUGCCCAGACACCUACGGGUGGCUGCAGUCGAGGAUCUUCGGCAAUGGGCGCAAGCCUGACCGAGCGACGCCGCGUGCGGGAUGAAGGCCUUCGGGUUGUAAACCGCUGUCAGAGGGGAUGAAAUGCAUGGGGGUUCUCCCCCAUGCUUGUCAUAGCCUCRRAAGGAAGUACGGGCUAAGUUCGUGCCAGCCGCCGCGGKAAUUC